GUCCAUUUUAACACAAUUCUCCAUCGCUUGAAACAGAAAGGGGAAAAUUGGCAAUGGCUUUUUCCGGCAACGAUCAAACAGAGUUGGAAAACAGAGAGAAACCAUGGAAGAAAAGCCUGCAGGAUAUCCUUCUUUUGUUUGCUUCGAGCAUGACUUUUCUAUUUCCCUCCGGCUUACUUCAACUGAUUUAAAAUCAUGUUGCUUUUGAAAAUCAAAUCUUACUCUUAUGUAUAAUCUUUCGUGGAAUUUUCUCAGUUCAAUUACACUACUGAAAGCAUAGCAAUUUGUGGAAUUGAUUGGUACUGAGGUUGUAUGCUGCUAAAAUGAAGUCGAACAAGCAGGACAACUGAAAUGGUGAAAGAGAAGGAAAUAGUGGUUGAGGCAAGAAUUCUUCAAAGCUAUAAUUAAUGUGGAACCUAAUUUUAAAUUUUCAUUUUGUCAAGUUGUUAGUUUUUUUAAAAAAAAGAAAAACAUAGGAGUAGUAUAAUAUCAAUAGUUAUCUA